UUUUAGAUUUUAGUUUCCCUCUCCAUCUCCAUUCUAAACCCUAACUCCCUCCUUCCCCAAUUGCAAAACACUCCACCUUCUCAAAAUUCUCUACCAGAUUUGUUCAAAUUUCCGAUGAUAUGCCGGCUUCACAGCGGCUAUUCAAAUAUAGUCGCACAACUCGAACAUGUAAAGCUUCACCAGAUCCGUGUAUGAGAUCAACAAAAAAGACCACUGGAACCCCUUUAUUCUUUGACCACCGUUAUACUACCCCCACCCCCGACUAUAUACUCCACCACCUCUAUACUUAAUAACAAAAGAAUUCCCUAAAACCUCCAUCACCCCUACAAAAACCCUCACGAGUGCAGGGGAGGUGGUUAUUGACGGUGUGUAACAGUUGCGGGAAAGAUGGAGGAAGCACCAGAGAUUUGAGGAGGCGAUUCCGAUUCCAGGCGUUCCUUGUGACCUUUUUCCUACAGCUCGUGUAGCUUAUUGCUGUUCAUACUAAAGUUAGAAUUCCAGCACUGAUUUUGCUUGCUGAUGAUGGUUUUUAGGUAAAAGAGAAGAUUAAUUUUACACCUACUACAGAUCAGAAAAUUCAAUAUUCUAUAUAUACCCUUCACGUCCUUCUUCCGUUCCUCAAGCGUCUCAACGAGGACUACAUAAAGGAGAAAACAACAGAGAGUCUGAGAUUCAAGGAUCUACUUUAUCUGAUGUACAGUUGAAGAAGGCAGCCUGUGGCUUGGACGAGCGCAUGUACUGUGACUGCUGUAAAACGUCGAUUUUUGACUUGCAUAGAACCUGCCCUGAAUGCCAUUACGACCUCUGUCUUCAGUAUUGCGUGGAAUUGCGUGAUGGCAACCCGCAGAUAAACAAACAAGGGGGUGAUUGUAUUGUUCAGAAGAAGAAAGCAGUACCAGAAGAAGUUAUAAAUCAUGAUUGGAAGUCUCUAGAAGACGGCAGAAUUCCCUGUCCACCAGAAAGUAUGGGUGGUUGUGGGCGUGGAAUCUUACGGUUGGUGCAUUUAAAGCCACUCAAAUGGGUUCCAAAUUUGUUGGAGAAUACGUUAAAGCUCUUAAAGCAUCACAAAUUAAAGGAAGAUAUGAGAGAGAUUCCUGUGGAAUGGUGCACUUGUUCAGAUUUUAUAAAUGGGUUCCGUUUAUUUUCCAGGAACUCAUUAUCAAACUCUUCGUUUUGAUGCAAGUUUAUUGGACCAACUGAAGUUCUUUUUAUUGAUGUGACUCAGGGGUUCUGUUUCCAACAUCAUUUCUGUUUGUUUCGCAGCACAAAAGUUUCACUAGAUUUAUCCGAUUCUGUAUGACGCAAGCUAUAAUUUAGGAAGAUAGUUUGUGGAUAAGAAAGAACAUAGCAAAAUUUUCUCAGGCGUGGAACGAAUUCAUAUUUUCAAUGCGAAUGGAAGAUUUGAUCAGCGACAGGUUGAAAUUGCUUAAUAUUUUGUUGGUAAUAAUAUCGAACGUAAACGUCAUAACAAGGUAUGGUAUGAGAUGAACCCAUUUUGACCCGUUUGAUACCUAACCCGUUUGAAAAACUAGUUUCAAGCCGACUCGACCCGAUGGUUCGGAUACCAAUUUAUUAUCUCGAUCUUUGAAACCGGUUAAACACUGGUUCGUUUGUAAAAAACGGUUUAAACAAAAAAAAAUACGUUGUUUUACUGUUUUUAAUCCCAAACUGGCUGUUACCAGUUCAGGUUCACAUCUCCUUAAACCAGUUUACAGUCCGAACCGGUUUUUUUGCCCAAAAAAACAGCUCGGUUAAAAAACCGGACCGGUUUUCUAAAAAAAGCGAUUUGUCCACCCCUGAUUGGGCCGGGAUUGGGCAACAGGUGAAAAAACGGGUUCAGGUCAAGACGGGUAUUUUUAGUGUGUGUUGAAAUGGACCGAUCGGAUAUGGCAGCUGGAAAUACUUUUUUUUAUUUUUGUAAACAAUCAGUGUUUUAUGAAUUUAAAAGCUAGAUUUUGUAUUUGUUGACCACAAAUACACUUUGUGCAACUUCGAACACGUUUAUUUUUUAUCUUAAAUUCAGCGUUUUUUGUUUCUUCAAAAUAUUACCAAUGUACAUCCAGUCCUGUCCCCUUUUGAUCAGUUUUUUGUACAUCCUAGGCAUUAAUACAUGGGGUUUUUUUUUUUUCUUUUUUUUUUUUUUUUUUUUUGUCUUGUGUGGGUCACUAUGUAGACUUUUUGUAUCAUUCGGGUCAUUAUCAACUGUAAAAAAAAUUGUUCCGUUUGUAAUAUCAUUAGAUACGUGUUUGACCCAUUAAAGAUCAAACCUAACUCGUAUUAACCAAUUCAUAAGUAAAGAGUCGUCAUUGUUCUCUACUUUUGCAAGAUUAUAUAGUUCAAUUUGAUUUAUUGAUUAAUUUAUGUUUUGUAGGUACAACUUUGAUCCGGUGAUGAGAUGCCGUCUAUGGUGGUACAACUUUGAUCCAGUGAUGAGAAGCCGUCUUGGUUGGUGCAUUGAAUGGCUUCAAGCAAACUUUCUUGUGCUUGAUGAUAUCAUGAAUGAGUCUCAUACACACACAGAGAACUUCAUGACAGGAUAUCAGUUGGUUUUUUAUAGGGAAAAUCUUACACUCGGAUGCUCACACUCAAGAUAUUUUCUUUGCAUGUUUGUGACCUUAUAGGUUCUUCGUCUAUUUAUUAAUGAAUGGAAUAAAAUGUUAGAAACCGGAAUGGGUUGUGGUUCGUAAUAGACGUCAUAAAUGAAUCUGAUAUCAGUCGGGACACCCGCCGCAACGCGCGGGCAUUCCAACUAGAAAGAGAGAAGAUAGACACAACAGGAGGAGUGUGUGCAAAUCAGAUGAUGAGCCAGGAGUGUCUAGGAUUCGAGCUUCAAUCGACGAGACACCAAAAGGUCUAGGACUUGUGCUUUCAAGAGCUUUCCGUGACUUUUUUGUCAAAGUGCUGCUAGGAUUGAUGCAAGUUUAUGUAUUUAGUAUUCAAAUUGGCAACUUAUGUAUGGAUUUUGGUUUACUAUUGUUAAUAUUAUUAACUUUGUUUUUUAGGUU